rnacentral:lncRNA from 1 species
GUUCAUCGGUUUCGAUGGCAAUUGAUGAAUCGGACUCAAUUUUCAACAAAACAGUUUAUGACACCAAUGAGAUGGAAUUAUCCUAUUUAUCGUCAACUCCUUUGCAACUCUCGCAACAACAAUUUCUUUCGCCACCAACUCGAUCACCAUUAUCCCAAUCACCAUCGAUCUCGGGAAGACAAUCAACUCAAUCACCAUCACCAUUAUUUUCAACACAAUCAUCACCAUCAUCACAAUCAACAACUCCGUUGUCUAAAUCUCUUAUUCAUUCAGCCAUGCCAAAAGAUAUCGAUGAUGCACUACCACAAGGGGAAAAUACA